CUUCAUAAAAUUUCUAGCUGCCUUCAAAGUACAACGGAAAGGCCAUCUUCUACAUGAGAUCUUUCCUGAGUUCUUCUAAUUGUUAGUAUUUUUCCUUUUAAAAAAAGGUUUACUGAUACCCUUAAAAAAAUUGCCAUCAAUUUUCAUCAAUUCCCACUCUACUUUACAAAAAAUAAGUAUAAGCAAGCAAAAUGAAUCGACACAAUGGUUAUGUCUGGCGAUGUACGUCUCAUUCAUUCUGCAUUUCAAGUGACUUUGUCAGGGUUUGUAGUAUGGGGUUUAUUUUUUGAAGUAAGAGGGCAUGGAGGUGGGGAGAGAACUGAGAAGAGCCAAUGAAUUACUGGCCAAACAACGCUCCUAUUAUUGUUUCUGGUGCUUUCUUCUCAUUUCUGAGGGUGCUGUGAGCAUUACUCUUGGCCUGUGUGAAGGCCUGGAGUUCUCCCAAUUUAGAAGGGGCAAUAUAAACGUGAAACAGAGGCCUAAGAGAGGCAGGCCUGACGUCCUGCUCUGCAGGAUUCCAUCCAGUCCUUUGUUAAGGAAAGGUCAUCCUCUUUGUCUUUUUGUAAGGCCACAGCAGAUAUGUUUGAGCAAGUGGCGUAGCUGGGUGCCCAUGUAGGAGGUAGGCGUGUUGGGACAGGUCUGGCGCGUCACACACAUUGUUCUUGAGACUUUGACAGGGAGGCUGUUCCCCAAUCCAGGCUUCUGUGUCCUGAAUGCAUUCCUUCUUUGAGUGAAUUCUUCUAUAACAAGCAAUAAUAACAAGACUGAGUCUUAAGUUUGAAAGGGCAUGGUGUUUUCACAUAAGAUCAUCUCCUUUGAUCCUCACAACAACCCUGGGAGGUAGGUCUGGCUUGCCUGGCAUAGUUAACUCUAUUUUCCAGGUGAGGAAACAGGACCUUGCCUCAAGGUCACACAGGAGGUGUCCAGGCUGUAUUCUUUGACUUUAAGGAGAAAGCUCUUUUCACUACCAGAUACCACCAGAGGAUGCCUUAUCACAGAUCUGGAACUACAAGAGACUUUGAAAGCCCAUCAAGUCCACCAUCCAGAUCGAACAGGGGAGGAAACUGAGGCCCAGCAAACCACAAAGAAGGAAGACAUUUGCAUGCGAGCCAGGACAGCCUUGUCCAUGGAUUGAAGGAUCUAUCUUCCACCUGUCAAGGAAAUGCUCUCCUUGCCGAGAUCACAGCUAAUCCUGGAAACCUAGGUAACCAUUGUAGCCAGGAGUGUUUUCUUCCAUUUAUGAGAGUGAGUCAGACAUACACACCUUCCACUAAGCCAGGCUUCUUUCCGUAAGCUGCAUCUUGAUCUGUCAAGCAUCAGAAGCCAAA